AACAAGGCGUACCUGCGGACCUGCGGAAGGAUCAUUACAGAGUUCAUGCCCUCACGGGUAGAUCUCCCACCCUUGCGUAUUUAUACCUUUGUUGCUUUGGCAGGCCGCCUGGGCUCGCGCCUGGCCACCGGCUCCCGGGCUGGUGCGUGCCUGCCAGAGGAUCUCCAAACUCUAGUUAUCAGUGUUGUCUGAGUACUAUACAAUAGUUAAAACUUUUAACAACGGAUCUCAGAUCGGAAG
rnacentral:misc_RNA from 1 species